GUAGUAUAGUAUUCUACAAUUUACUACAGAAUUCUAUAUUAAUAUUCUAUAUAUCAUAAACUGUAGUAUUUUUUUCAUGUGGCUAAUCCCACCUGUACUAAUUUACUUACUUAUCAACAUCAUUAAAUGUAAUAAUUUAGCCUUUUAUAAUUGCCAAUCAAUAUACCUAAUGAAUUAGUCCAAUAUGCAGUCAUUCCCUAAAUUAAGAAGCCGUGAGAACACAUUCACAAUCAGUUUUUAGUGACAUUUUUCUGAUGUUGACAAUCUUGUGAAUCUCCAAUCCUUGUAGAAUUUAGAAAAAGCGGCCACAUGCAUAGAACCUUAUAAGUAGAAUCCUUAAUUAAAACUUUAUUAAAGAGGUCAUCUCGCCUGUGUUUUGGUAAACACCUGAGGGAUGGGCCUGGAUAAAUGUGACCACACUCAAAUUCUGUUAUGGAUGCAUGGACUGACCAUCCAUGAUAUCAAAAUGUGAGGCAAUUUUUUGUUUACGUUUACAUUGUUUACAGAGUAAAAGAUGCUAAUAUUUGGGGUUUUGAUGGGGUAUGACAGCUGAAUUAAGCCCAUGAGGCAUUCAUAAGUUAUAUUCUUCAAGAUCAAUGGGUAAAUACAGUACUGUGUCAUUCAUUUAUAAGUCCCAAAAUUGAUGUAGCAACUAAGGUUCAAGAUUUAAUAACUGCAUUCUAUCAGAAUUGACACACACACACACACACACACACACACACACACACACACACACACACACACACACAUAGAUGGAGAGAGAUUAGCCAACAACUAAAGGCUCAUUAGAUAAGGAAAGGGACAUUGCUUUCUUUCCUCAGCUCCUCUCCUUAUUACCACUGGAAAGCACAGAAAGGAGCUAAUUCGAUUGAGUCAAGGCAUCACAACGUUUUGCAAAAAAGAAGUCUUCUUCCUCAGCGGUGAUAAUGAGACAUCUGUUGUGUUAUUCUCCAUUAAAAUGACCACUUACCUCGAUCUCCUUGCACACACACACACGCACACACAAAUGUGUGCACACUCACACACACACACACACACACAAAUGUGUGCACGCUCACACACACACACUUUCCUCAUGUUGACUUCAGAGAGAGGCCAGUGUAAGCUUUGUUCUCCCCUUUGUUCUUUCAGCAACAGGAAAUGUCAAUUACUAUGUGGGUUCUAAUUAUUGGAAUUUUAUGGGGGGUUUGAGACAUUUUUCAAAAGAGAAAAUCAAAUCUUAUAUUUCAAAGUUUAAAUUACAAACUUUAGAAGCCUUUUUAAACCCCAAAUAGCUCAGGGAGUUUAUGUAAGUCUUGAAAGCAAGGUCACUCCCAAUCCAAGCGUGACUCACUAGAACCAACAUCCAACUAUUUUUUUGCCCUCAAUUUUUUUGCCCUCAAAUUUGUUUGAUUAACAUCCGGCAUCUCUCUCUUUCUCUCUCUCUGGUAUUUAUUUGUGAAUCAAAUUUUCCUCUGAAUCCCAGGGACUCUUGAUUUUGACUUGUUUCAUUCAAUAUUUAGGACUAUGAAAUAGAUGUCGCUUUCCUCCUCAAAUGCACUGUCUGGAAAGGGGACAUGGGGGGAAUUGAGACCCACAAGCAUAAAUGGAACUUAAUUCCCUUUUUAUACACUAUUCUCUCUAUGCAUAUUCUGACUUUGAACUUAAGCAUGGGGAAACGUAUGUGCCUGCCAGCUAAACAUUUGGGGUGGAGAUCACAGAAAUGGAUGUGUGUCUACAGGAGGUGUGUCUACAGAUGUGUGUCUACAGGAGGUGUGUCUACGGAUGUGUGUCUACAGGAGGUGUGUCUACAGAUGUGUGUCUACAGGAGGUGUGUCUACAGAUGUGUGUCUACAGGGGGUGUGUCUACAGAUGUGGGUCUACUGACCUUGACUUUAUUCCCUCAUAAUUACGUCACCUUAAAAAAUAAGUGCCAGAAAACCAUGAAUAUGGUCAAUCUCCUGUAGGUUCUAAGUGGAAAAACACAUAAUACAUUUUUUCAGAUUGAAAUAACACCAUUCUCCAUGCACUGUAAUUUAAUUGACAAGAGCUAGACAAAUGAGUAAUCUAUUUGGAGAAGGGGAAUGUAUAUAUAAAUAGCAAUUGUUUUAGAUCAUUUUUACUUAUGAUCGCUGGAGACUUGAAACAAGUUAUAUGGAAGCUAACGGAAUAUCGUAUCAACAUAAGUAUUUCGGUCCCGUUUCCAAAGCGAAGUAGGCUAUAAAUAGCUGUGCCAUUAUUCAGAAUUUUACUUGUAUGUCAUCAUCAUUUCCAGGGAUGAAAUUUGGAGACCCAAACUUUAGGUUUAGGCAUAGCGCCGAACCUACCAAGUUGACUUAAGGGCUCUAGUGUUUUAAUUGUAUGCUCUGGCUAUUCUCAGUUCUGUUUUUAUUUGUAUCAUGUUAAAUAUUAUCCAGUAUCAGUAGCCACCUUCAGUAGCCACCUUCAGUAGCCACCUUCAGCAAUACCCACAUACAUUUAUAACUGGCACUUGAGUGUUCGUUUUCUUCAGUUUGUAGAGUAUUUGCAUCAUUACAUUACAUUACUCUCUUUACUUUCUUUCCUCUGUCAUGUCCAUUAUGGUUGUUCCUGAGGGUCUCUAGAAAGAGUGGAUCAUAUACGUAAGGCUAACGUUGUGCAAUCAUUUGGGAUAUGUAACCUAUUUUAAUCAUUAUAGAGUGCAGUUAAGCCUGGAGCCUAACGCACGAUUCGAGACCCUGGACCAUUGUCAUUACAGAUGGAUUGAACAAUUGAAUUUGCCAACUUUCAGGAUGAAUCAAACCACUGUAUUUUUUAUUAAUUAAUGCUGUAUAUUUCAUGCGUAAAGGCUUUCUAAAGCAGUUUUUUGUAUGAUUCAUAACUACUUUCCCAACCCUCAAUAAUCUACAAGGUCAGAGUAUUUUUAAAUCUACCAAAUGGUGGUACCACACGAACAUGAAUAGAUUUAGAAUGUUUUCUUUCAUUGAUACCUAAUAUUUUGUCUCGAUAUAUUCUAGUGUCUGUCGACAAAAUCCACAUGAAAGGCACACCCCGAAUUAAAAGGGAUGGCUUUAGAAAAAUGUACUGUAAACCCUAUUGAAUGAAAAUCCAAAUUUGUUGGCGAGUAAGUGGAAUGGUUGUCAAUGGAUGAAUUACAUUACAUGUAUUCAUUUAUUAAAAAUUCUUCAAGCUCUGCCAAGUUGGUUGUUGAUCAUUGCUAGCCAUUUUCAAGUCUUGUCAUAGAUUUUUAAGACGAUUGAAGUCAAAACUGUAACAAGGCCACUCAGGAGC
ensembl:lncRNA